AGUGGUAUGGUGUAAUGAUGCAUGUGGGAUUUUCUUGAGACGUUGGAGGCACAUGUAAUUCCCGAGGUCCUUGUUCGAAUCAAGGUACUGCUC